rnacentral:rRNA from 1 species
CAGUAGCCGCGGGAACACGAAGGGUGCAAGCGUUACUCGGAAUUACUGGGCGUAAAGCGUGCGUAGGUGGUGGUUUAAGUCCGUUGUGAAAGCCCUGGGCUCAACCUGGGAAUUGCAGUGGAUACUGGGUCACUAGAGUGUGGUAGAGGAUAGUGGAAUUUCCGGUGUAGCAGUGAAAUGCGUAGAGAUCGGAAGGAACAUCUGUGGCGAAGGCGACUAUCUGGGCCAACACUGACACUGAGGCACGAAAGCGUGGGGAGCAAACAGGAUUAGAGACCCCCGUAGUCCCUGUCUCUUAUAC